rnacentral:rRNA from 1 species
GUCCAGACUCCUACGGGAGGCAGCAGUGGGGAAUAUUGGACAAUGGGGGGAACCCUGAUCCAGCGACGCCGCGUGAGUGAAGAAGUAUUUCGGUAUGUAUAGCUCUAUCAGCAGGGAAGAAGGAAAUGACGGUACCUGACUAAGAAGCCCCGGCUAACUACGUGCCAGCAGCCGCGGUAAUACGUAGGGGGCAAGCGUUAUCCGGAUUUACUGGGUGUAAAGGGAGCGUAGGCGGUUUAGCAAGUCAGAAGUGAAAGCCCGGGGCUCAACUCCGGGACUGCUUUUGAAACUGUUGGACUAGAUUGCAGGAGAGGUAAGUGGAAUUCCUAGUGUAGCGGUGAAAUGCGUAGAUAUUAGGAGGAACACCAGUGGCGAAGGCGGCUUACUGGACUGUAAAUGACGCUGAGGCUCGAAAGCGUGGGGAGCAAACAGGAUUAGAUACCCUAGUA